GCCCAUUUCUCAUAACAUUAUAUUUAGAAAUAUGUAUUUCUAGGACUUUUAAUAUUUUUUAUAUUUUCAAGCCGUGGAUCAGUCAGUCAACGGAUACUGAUCCCGCGGAUAUGGGGGAAUCCUACUGCAUUCAAUUUUGAAAUCUAGGUUAUGGGAGGGAGAAAUGGAAGACAACAACCGGCAGUGCAUGCAAUAUUUUUUGCAGCAUCUGCAUCCUCUAAAUAUGGAGUUUCACUCACUUUGAGUUUUUUCUCUCCCCUUGGUUCCAUUCUGGCGUGACGACCCAGCCCAGGCUGUUGGUGAAAUGAAGAAGCUUUUGCUGCUCUUACUGGGAGGCGCUGUCCAGAAAUUGUGGGAGCUCCAACAGGAACAGAAGACGCAGCCUGCUCCUCUGCCGGAGAACCACUGGCAACAUCUGGGGGUGCAGCUGGCCGAGGCUUGGGCCGAGGUGCGGCGUCUGCGGCAGGAGCUAGAAGAGAAGGUGGAAGAAAUGCUGGAUCAGCAGGAUGAACGGAAGGAUUUAGAGGAACACCUGCAAAAGCUGAAGCAAGAGGUAGCCGUCCAACAAAAGAACCCGUUAAACAAAAGCCAAGAGCCGUACUUUUAAUUUAUUUUGCCUUUUUAUUUAUCACAGUUCUUGACGUCCUCUGUUCUAGCACAGAGACCCUUACAACGCAGCUUAGGAAUGUCAUCCAGAGCUUGGAGAUUGUAUGUGAAUUUUACACAUUAAUAUUCAGACCCUUCAUUCAUUCAUUCAUUCAUUCAUUCAUUCAUUCAUUCAUUCAUUCAUUUAUUUAUUUAUUUAUUUAUUCAUUCAUUCAUUCAUUCAUUCAUUCAUUCAUUCAUUUAUUUAUU
rnacentral:lncRNA from 1 species